rnacentral:sRNA from 1 species
CUGGAACUAAUUACGGAGAGGAUAUGUCUCAAUUUGUUCCGCAUUAGUGCCGCGCCGGGACGCAGGCACCGAGCACGGGAAAUUGAUGGGCCCGGCCCGGCCCGGCCCCGCCGG